GGGCGAUUAGCUCAGCUGGUUAGAGCGCUUGGUUUACAUCCAAGAGGUCAUAGGUUCGAUCCCUAUAUCGCCCACCA
rnacentral:tRNA from 1 species